rnacentral:tRNA from 2 species
GCCGGGAUGGCCGAGCGGACCAAGGCGCCAGCCUUGAGAGCUGGUGCCCCAUUGGGGCGCGCGGGUUCGAAUCCCGCUCCCGGCG